rnacentral:rRNA from 1 species
UACGGGGGGGGGCAAGCGUUGUUCGGAAUUACUGGGCGUAAAGGGCGCGUAGGCGGCGCGGGAAGUCAUCGGUGAAAGUUCAGGGCUCAACUCUGAAUCGGCCGGUGAUACUCUCGUGCUCGAGCACUGUAGAGGCAGGUGGAAUUCCGGGUGUAGCGGUGGAAUGCGUAGAGAUCCGGAAGAACACCGGUGGCGAAGGCGGCCUGCUGGGCAGUAGCUGACGCUGAUGCGCGACAGCGUGGGGAGCAAACAGG